rnacentral:rRNA from 1 species
UACGUAGGGCGCAAGCGUUGUCCGGAAUUAUUGGGCGUAAAGAGCUCGUAGGCGGUUUGUCGCGUCUGCUGUGAAAUCCCGAGGCUCAACCUCGGGCUUGCAGUGGGUACGGGCAGACUAGAGUGCGGUAGGGGAGACUGGAAUUCCUGGUGUAGCGGUGGAAUGCGCAGAUAUCAGGAGGAACACCGAUGGCGAAGGCAGGUCUCUGGGCCGCAACUGACGCUGAGGAGCGAAAGCAUGGGGAGCGAACAGG